rnacentral:rRNA from 1 species
UCUCCUGGAAAACGGGUGGUAAUGCCGGAUGCUCCAGUCCAUCGCAUGGUGGUCUGGGAAAGAUUCCAUCGGUAUGGGAUGGGGUCGCGUCCUAUCAGCUUGAUGGCGGGGUAACGGCCCACCAUGGCUUCGACGGGUAGCCGGCCUGAGAGGGCGACCGGCCACAUUGGGACUGAGAUACGGCCCAGACUCCUACGGGAGGCAGCAGUGGGGAAUAUUGCACAAUGGGCGCAAGCCUGAUGCAGCGACGCCGCGUGCGGGAUGGAGGCCUUCGGGUUGUAAACCGCUUUUGAUCGGGAGCAAGCCCUUCGGGGUGAGUGUACCCUUCGAAUAAGCACCGGCUAACUACGUGCCAGCAGCCGCGGUAAUACGUAGGGUGCAAGCGUUAUCCGGAAUUAUUGGGCGUAAAGGGCUCGUAGGCGGUUCGUCGCGUCCGGUGUGAAAGCCCAUCGCUUAACGGUGGGUCUGCGCCGGGUACGGGCGGGCUGGAGUGCGGUAGGGGAGACUGGAAUUCCCGGUGUAACGGUGGAAUGUGUAGAUAUCGGGAAAGAACACCA